rnacentral:rRNA from 1 species
UAUUAUGGUGAAACCGCGAAUGGCUCAUUAAAUCACACCUAAUCUACUGGAAUGUUAGCAGUUACUUGGAUAACUGAGGUAAUUCUUGAGCUAAUACACGCGAAAAAUCCCGACUCACGAAGGGAUGCUUUUAUUAGAUCAAAACCAAACAGCCUCUGGCUGUAACACUGGUGACUCUGAAUAACUUUGGGCUGAUCGCAUUGCCUUGAGCAGGCGACAUUUCCUUCGAAGGUGUGCCCUAUCAACUGUCGACUGUGAUAUAGACGCUCACAGUGGUUUUGACGGGUAACGGGGAAUCAGGGUUCGAUUCCGGAGAGGGAGCCUUAAAAACGGCUACCACAUCCAAGGAAGGCAGCAGGCACGCAAAUUACCCAAUGAACGAAGUUCGAGGUAGUGACGAAAAAUAACAAUACAAGACUCAUCCGAGGCCUUGUAAUUGGAAUGAGUACACUUUAAAACCGUUUCACGAGGAUCC